GGCAUUGCAGCUAAGUGGUUAAAGCGAUUGACUAGAAUUCAAGUUCAAUUCUUCGGAGACCAGUUUCGAAUCCUGUCAAUGUCG